CAAGUACUCCCUCUGUCCGGAAUUACUUGUCAUCAAAAUGGAUGUGUCUAGAACUAAAAUACAUCUAGAUACAUCCAUUUCAAUGACAAGUAUUUUCGGACGGAGGGUGUCGGUG
rnacentral:pre_miRNA from 1 species